rnacentral:rRNA from 1 species
UAUCUCUGUAGAGUCUGCAUAUCAAUAAGCGGAGGAAAAGGAAACUAACAAGGAUUCCCUUAGUAACGGCGAGUGAAGCGGGAAGAGCUCAAAUUUGAAAUCUUCAAGGUUCUACCUUGACGAAUUGUAGUUUAAAGAAGUGUUUUCUGUUAGAUGAGUAGCAAAAGUUCCUUGGAAUGGGACAUCAUAGAGGGUGAGAAUCCCGUAUUUGGUUAUUCAUUCUAGCUUUGUGAUACACUUUCAAAGAGUCGGAUUGUUUGGGAAUGCAGUCCAAAAUGGGUGGUAAAUUUCAUCUAAAGCUAAAUAUUGGCGAGAGACCGAUAGCGAACAAGUACCGUGAGGGAAAGAUGAAAAGAACUUUGAAAAGAGAGUUAAACAGUACGUGAAAUUGUCAAAAGGGAAGCGUUUGACACCAGUGUUGUUUUUCCGAAAAUCAAUUACGAAUGGCUUGAUUUUGUGUUGUAUUGACCUUAUCAGCUUUCUUCACUUUUUUCGAGUCUUUCUUAAUGCACUUUUCGGUUAACAAGUCAACAUCAAUUUCUUUUGUUGUAAAAGAGUAUUCGGAAGGUGGCUUUCUUUUCGGAGAAAGUGUUUAUAGCCCUAUACUUCUACAAUCGGAGAGAUUGAGGUCUGCAGCGUAGAUCCUUCGGGGUUAGAUACAUUUGUGCUAAGUUGUAGCUUUUCAUAGACAACUUGUUGACUAUGUUUAGUCAUGCGGCUUACUCGCUUAUGCUAUUUUACCUACGCUUAGGAUGUUGACUGAUAUGUAGUCGUA